rnacentral:rRNA from 1 species
UACGUAGGGGGCAAGCGUUGUCCGGAAUCAUUGGGCGUAAAGCGCGUGUAGGCGGCUCGAUAAGUCUGCUGUGAAAGUCCAGGGCUCAACCCUGGGAUGCCGGUGGAUACUGUCGAGCUCGAGUCCGGAAGAGGCGAGUGGAAUUCCUGGUGUAGCGGUGAAAUGCGCAGAUAUCAGGAGGAACACCGGUGGCGAAGGCGGGUCUCGUGGGCUGUGAACUGACGCUGAGGAGCGAAAGCGUGGGUAGCGAACAGG